GUUGUAAUAUUCCAGGAUUAAUAUACAGGGGAUGUACUUGACUCAAAUUAAAGAAUAAGCUUUUCGGUCCUAAAUUUAAUGCCUGCAUUUUCUCGGUUCGUAAUUUCCUCCAAUAAUUGAAAUCUACCUUUCAAAAUUUUGACUAAAUUAACACUAAACAGAGCUAAACUGUAUACAAAAUAAUUAACUUCCUUAUACUACAAUAAACAACCACCACACCUCUGAUUCAUU
rnacentral:lncRNA from 1 species